GGAAUGUGAGAAGUCACCAUUUAAUUUUAAAUGAUACUCAGAAUGCAGCGACUAAAGUAAUGAGCAUGUUUUAAUUCAUCAGAUACUUACUUGACAGUUGUCUAGGAUCAGAGAGACACACGAUAGCAGAGACUGCUGGUUUGCCUUCCUCAAUAUCUACUCUCCACCAUGCCAUAAUAAGAUCACACACAGUGACCCAGAGCAAAUACUCUGUUCUCAGUCCUCCAUGCAGCUGGAUGUGUCCUGUGGCUAAAUUCUGGCCAGUAAGACGGGAAUGGAAGCUUUGUGUGGCAGCUUCCAACAACACUCCCUAAGGUCUUCCCAGGACGGACUUCUGCCACGGGGAUGAUGAGGAAGUGGGUCUCAGAAGACUGAGACUGAACCUCCUGGGCACUUUGCCUCUGGAACAAAUGACAGGAAACAUCCAUUCAACAGGCUGCUCAUCCCUUACAUUGAUCUCAAUGAGGCUCUGCCAAUUAGUGUAUUUUGUAAAAGAUCAAGAACCCAGCAACAAGGGGCUUGUGAUCGAUAUCAGGGCUUUUGUUCUAAGCAGCCACUUAUCUCAGUAAUUCUCGCUGAGAGUCUGUUGAAACAAGAGCUUCAAUUUUAUUGGAAUGGCUUAUAAUUUGUGCGUUAUUUUUAAAAGAAGAGACACACAUGAGCUGGCCUAUUAUUCCCUCUUACAAUUACCUUGGAACCUCUUCUUUUUCUUUAAAAGAUCAAAAAUUGUAACAGGAAAUAGGAUUACAUGAAUAAAUUCCAAGGCACUGAGAAGACACUGACACCACUUUUGAGUAAUCUGGCCCGACUUUCAGCACUUGUAAUGAGUGUGUGCCCUCGGUCUAUUAAUAAAACAUUGUUUUUCAGUUCUGAGUC